UACGAAGGGAGCUAGCGUUGUUCGGAAUUACUGGGCGUAAAGGGCGCGUAGGCGGUUCGACAAGUUGGAUGUGAAAGCCCAGGGCUCAACCCUGGAAUUGCAUUCAAAACUGUCUUACUUGAAUUCGGUAGAGGUUGGUGGAAUUCCCAGUGUAGAGGUGAAAUUCGUAGAUAUUGGGAAGAAUAUCCGUGGCGAAGGCGGCCAACUGGACCGACAUUGACGCUGAGGCGCGAAAGCGUGGGGAGCAAACAGG
rnacentral:rRNA from 1 species